UACGUAGGGACCGAGCGUUGUCCGGAAUCAUUGGGCGUAAAGAGCGUGUAGGCGGCUCGCUAAGUCUUGCGUGAAAUCUCGGGGCUCAACCCCGAGCGGUCGUGAGAAACUGGCGGGCUAGAGUGCGGGAGAGGAGAGUGGAAUUCCUGGUGUAGCGGUGAAAUGCGCAGAUAUCAGGAGGAACACCGGCGGCGAAGGCGGCAUUCUGGACCGACAUUGACGCUGAGGAGCGAAAGCCAGGGGAGCAAACGGG
rnacentral:rRNA from 1 species